AUUGAACGCUGGCGGCAUGCCUUACACAUGCAAGUCGAACGGUAACAGGUCUUCGGAUGCUGACGAGUGGCGAACGGGUGAGUAAUGCAUCGGAACGUGCCCAGUAGUGGGGGAUAGCCCGGCGAAAGCCGGAUUAAUACCGCAUACGACCUGAGGGUGAAAGGGGGGGAUCGCAAGACCUCUCGCUAUUGGAGCGGCCGAUGUCAGAUUAGCUAGUUGGUGGGGUAAAGGCCUACCAAGGCAACGAUCUGUAGUUGGUCUGAGAGGACGACCAGCCACACUGGGACUGAGACACGGCCCAGACUCCUACGGGAGGCAGCAGUGGGGAAUUUUGGACAAUGGGCGCAAGCCUGAUCCAGCAAUGCCGCGUGCAGGAAGAAGGCCUUCGGGUUGUAAAGCUCUUUCGGCAGGAACGAAACGGCGAGCUCUAACAUAGCUUGCUAAUGACGGUACCUGAAGAAGAAGCACCGGCUAACUACGUGCCAGCCGCCGCGGUAACAC
rnacentral:rRNA from 1 species